UUACGGAGGGGGUUAGCGUUGUUCGGAAUUACUGGGCGUAAAGCGCGCGUAGGCGGACCAGAAAGUUGGGGGUGAAAUCCCGGGGCUCAACCCCGGAACGGCCUCCAAAACUCCUGGUCUUGAGUUCGAGAGAGGUGAGUGGAAUUCCGAGUGUAGNGGUGAAAUUCGUAGAUAUUCGGNGGAACACCAGUGGCGAAGGNGGCUCACUGGCUCGAUACUGACGCNGAGGUGCGAAAGUGUGGGGANCAAACAGG
rnacentral:rRNA from 1 species